rnacentral:rRNA from 1 species
UACGAACCGUCCAAACGUUAUUCGGAAUUACUGGGCUUAAAGGGUUUGUAGGCGGCCUUGUAAGUGGGGUGUGAAAUCCCUCGGCUCAACCGAGGAAUAGCGCUCCAAACUACAUGGCUUGAGGGAGACAGGGGUAAGCGGAACUGAUGGUGGAGCGGUGAAAUGCGUUGAUAUCAUCAGGAACACCGGUGGCGAAAGCGGCUUACUGGGUCUCUUCUGACGCUGAGAGACGAAAGCUAGGGUAGCGAACGGG